ACAGUGCAGUACAGCAGAGUUCAAUCAGGUGCUUGACAUCCUGACAAUCUUGUCUCUAUAGGAAGAAAAAAGAAAACACCUGGAGACCCUGGGUUUGGUGGCGGACGUAUUCUAAAGAAGCACAGACCCUUCUGAUGGGAGUCUGCAAUAAGAGCAAAUCAAUCCAAAGUACUCAAUUAUGCAGAAGUUAUUUUGCUUCUGAGUCAGGGCCAAGGGCUCAACCUCACAUGCCUAGCAUCUGCAACCAGCUAGCAACAGCCAUAGAUCCACCAGUGGAAGCACCCUGGGCUCCCAAGCGGGUGCAGUGGAGGGCCAAGGACCUCAGCCACGAUGACCACUCCGAUGUCCGCACCAAGCCCAGCAAUGACAACCAAGCCACUGCUAGAAAUGCCCUGGGCUCCUGAGCCAGGGCAGUGGAGGCACAAGAGCCUCAGCCACACCCCCCAACAUCUGCAACCAGCCCAGCAACAACCACUGAGCAACCACCAGGAACACCCUGGGCUCCUGAGCAGGGGUGGUGGGGAGCUGAGGGCUCAGCCACACCCCCCUGACAUCUGCAUGCAGCCCAGCCCACAGCUGGAUAUCCCCUGGUCUCCCCUGCCAAAAUGAGGAGGGGCCAUGGGCCUUAACCAUGCCCCCCUCCUCCCACCCUAUUUCUCUCCCCCUUCCUUUCUCCCCAUCCCCCACACCUGCUU